rnacentral:ncRNA from 1 species
GAGCGAUUUGUCUGGUUAAUUCCGAUAACGAACGAGACUCUGGCAUGCUAACUAGUUACGCGACCCCCGAGCGGUCGGCGUCCAACUUCUUAGAGGGACAAGUGGCGUUCAGCCACCCGAGAUUGAGCAAUAACAGGUCUGUGAUGCCCUUAGAUGUCCGGGGCCGCACGCGCGCUACACUGACUGGCUCAGCUUGUGCCUACCCUCCGCCGGCAGGCGCGGGUAACCCGUUGAACCCCAUUCGUGAUGGGGAUCGGGGAUUGCAAUUCUUCCC